rnacentral:rRNA from 1 species
GACGAACCGUGCGAACGUUGUUCGGAAUCACUGGGCUUAAAGGGCGCGUAGGCGGGCUGUCAAGUCUGGGGUGAAAUGCCACGGCUCAACCGUGGAACUGCCUUAGAUACUGACGGCCUCGAGGAAGGUAGGGGCAUGCGGAACUGUAGGUGGAGCGGUGAAAUGCGUUGAUAUCUACAGGAACUCCGGUGGCGAAAGCGGCGUGCUGGACCUUUUCUGACGCUGAGGCGCGAAAGCUAGGGGAGCAAACGGGG